UCACAGUUUUGUUUAGUUGUGCUUUUUCUUCUUCAAUGUUUUGCCAUAUUGUUUGAAGACUUCCUAAGCACAUAUAAUUUAAAAAAUAAACUAUACAAAUAUGUUUAAAAGGCAAAUAAGUUAUCCCAAUAGGUAACAUAGAAAAUAGACCAAGAACUGUACAUGGAAAUAAAAGAUUGCUUAAGUAAACAAUAACAAUAACAUUUAUCUAAAUGCUUUAUUGUGGUUUUUGUUCAUCUGAUCAUUACAUCUAAACCUGGAAUGCGUUUUUGUCUCUCCUCCCAGGAUUACUGAGGAUGAAAAUGACAAAUUCCUGAAGCCUUGGCUGUAGGAGCAAAAUAGUCAAUAUACUUUCAGUCUAUGAAUUUUAAUACAAUUAUUGGACUAAGUGCUUUGGAUGGUUAUGCUCUUGAGUCAAGAAGUAUGUUGUUCCUUUCCUAUUACCUUAGGCUGCUACUCAAAAAUUUCCCAAUAAAAUCUUAUCAAUGGCUUUUGUGGAGGUAGGUAUACUUUUUUUCCAUAUGCCCUGAAAAAUUCUGUCGUUUGCUUACUUAUUUCAUAUCGUUUCCUGUACCUAGGCUGAGUCUAUUUCUUUCUCUAUGUCUUCUCUACCAUUAUGUGCUCUAUAAUGUGAAGGCAGAGGAAGAAUUCUCAUCUUUAUCCAGAAAGAAUCCCUUACUGUUUGGAGCUAAAGGUAUAAAGUGUUCCUUAGAUAGAAGUGGAGAUGUAAUAAUACUUCAUGGUAUAAAACAGUGAAUUCCUUCUUUGCUUUACCAGCUAAUGAAACACUUUUUGUUUAACCAAAUAUAAUCAGGGCUGGAAUACUGCUUAGGAGGAAAUACCUAUGUAUGUAAGUAAGUGAUUUAAAUAAUGAGAAAAUAGGCUUUUAAAAAAUUCACAAUUUGGUUUGACAGAUCUUUUGCAUUUUUCCAGUAUUUAUGAUUAUUUCAGCAGUACAGAACAAAGUUUAUAAUUAAACUUAUAAAUUUAACACUUCCAAAAAUGAGGCCAAAAGAAAUAAGCUCAAUUCAAGAAUGAUUCAUUCAGAUAAGGGUAGGGGUGAGGGAGUGUAAGAAACUCUUAUAUUCUUUCAUAGCCUCUUAGCUAAAGAGAACAAUAAAUUACACACUGACAGUUAAUGAAUAUUAGUG
ensembl:lncRNA